ensembl:lncRNA
GCAUUCUUUAAACUAGAAAUGUGGGAGGGACUCCAGGAAAGAGAGAGAGAGAGAGAUGGCUAUCAACUGAAUUCAUUACUGUAAACAUCUCCCUGGGGUGUCAGGCAGGGAGGAAAAAAAGGCACGACUUACAUUAGCAGGGAAUAGUCAGAUCUGAGGCAUCAUUACUGCAAAGAUCAGCCUGCAAUCCCGGCUGAAGGCUGGCGCAGGACUUGGAGAGAGCCAGCCACACGCACUCACACAUAUACUCACAUAUGUGUCCGAUGCCACCUCCGACUUCCAAGGGUCCUGGGUCUCCGUGCCAGCUCCUCAUGUGAUCCUGUGAUCCUCUCACCGUUUCCAGAGGACAGAGAGAGAAAAGAGAAAGAAAGCAACCCCAAGACCGGGCGUACUCGUGUCCCCCCCUUUUUUUUUUCUCCAUUUUUUUUUCCUUUUUUUUUUUUUUUUUUUUUUUGCCGGAGAAGGAGGAGCGGCGGGGAAAAGAGGAGCGAACCGAGGCGAGAAAGUGCGUUGGGGAUGCCAGAGCCGCGGGCUGCGCGCCGGAGGAGGAGGUGGCGGAGAAGGGGGGAGGACGAUGCCGCUGCCUCGUAAGGGCGGAGGAAGGCGCGGGAGGCGCGGGGGCCGCUCCGGUGCGGCGGCGGCGGCCGGCGGGGAGCGGGGCCCUCGGGGCCGGCCGGGAGCGGCGCUCGGCGGCCGCGGCGGGCGGCGGCCACCGGCCAGGAGCGGCGGCAAAGUUUUGGUUUGGGGGGCCAGAGGCGCGCAGGGGGAUUAUGAUCGGUGCCGGCGAGGGAUUCCCAGACACUGCCAGGCCCUCUCUUUGGUUUUAUUCUGCAUUGCCUCUCUGCCUUCCUGGACUCAUUCAAGAUAUCUAGUUUUGUACAAGCACAAAAAGCUGGUAAGAACACUGCUGUGAUACCUUGCAGUAACAACUAUGCUGAAAAAUAGCACGAGGAGACAUAUUGAUAAGGAAUCUGUUUGCCUGAAAUGCUUUGGCACAUGUCAGAUGGAAUUUGCUUUUGGGCCGAAGGCCAACUCCAGGCUUCUGCACCUCUUAGGACCCACUUAAAAGCUAUUAAGAGAGUUUAAGUGGUGCACAAGUGUCUUGUUGGCUGUCUGCACAAUGCUAAAGAUCACCCACUGUGAAACAUUAAUGGGAGAGGACUGUUUUUUUUUUUUUUCUCUACUGCUGGUAGGUGUCAUUUGUGAGUCUGCUGGCAAUUUUGAUCUCGCUGAUGCAACCACACACAGACCUCAAAGGCAAUGGAGAGAAGUGGAAAAACAAAGCUGAGUUGCUUUCAGUGCUCUCUUCUACCUUUGUCAGGAUUCAUUAAAUGUGACAGCUUUAUGCUUCCUAAGUGAAAUAAGCCUAGGAGAGCUCUUUAAGAAAAAUAUUUAGAGCAGUUAUUGGGAAAAUAUAAUUACAGAAAGUUUUGGAUGGUAUAUCAGGGGUUUAUUCUGCUCUGAGUUGCUUCUUCAUAAACACAUGUAGAUGGCAGACUCUUUCCUGUCACUCAGUACAUUGUGGAGAAAAUUAGAUGCUUACUUAUUGCCUUUACUGUAUCCUGUUUCCUCUGUUCAUGGUCAGAAGAUUUGUGAUGCUAUAUGGCAUGUAAAACUAUUCACACAGAAUAUUC